rnacentral:rRNA from 1 species
GUGGGGAAUAUUGGACAAUGGGCGCAAGCCUGAUCCAGCCAUGCCGCGUGUGUGAAGAAGGCCUUCGGGUUGUAAAGCACUUUCAGCGAGGAGGAAGGGAUGUAUGUUAAUAGCAUGCAUUUUUGACGUUACUCGCAGAAGAAGCACCGGCUAACUCUGUGCCAGCAGCCGCGGUAAUACAGAGGGUGCAAGCGUUAAUCGGAAUUACUGGGCGUAAAGCGCACGUAGGCGGUUUUUUAAGUCAGAUGUGAAAGCCCCGGGCUCAACCUGGGAAUUGCAUUUGAAACUGGGGAACUAGAGUGUGUGAGAGGGGGGUAGAAUUCCAAGUGUAGCGGUGAAAUGCGUAGAGAUUUGGAGGAAUACCAGUGGCGAAGGCGGCCCCCUGGCACAACACUGACGCUCAGGUGCGAAAGCGUGGGGAGCAAACAGGAUUAGAUACCCCAGUAGUCC